UGGUUAAUACAUAAGUCAUUACUAUAUUUCAGCACAGAAAAUGGCAUCACAACUGUAUAUAAGAAUCUAAGCUCACUAAUGUCACUCAUACAUGAAACUGGACCUAUUUCUUUUCUAGAAGACAUUUGCAAGAUGA